rnacentral:rRNA from 1 species
UACGUAGGGGGCAAGCGUUGUCCGGAUUUAUUGGGCGUAAAGCGCUCGUAGGUGGUUUGUCGCGUUGUCCGUGAAAACUCACAGCUUAACUGUGGGCGUGCGGGCGAUACGGGCAGACUGGAGUACUGCAGGGGAGACUGGAAUUCCUGGUGUAGCGGUGGAAUGCGCAGAUAUCAGGAGGAACACCGGUGGCGAAGGCGGGUCUCUGGGCAGUAACUGACGCUGAGGAGCGAAAGCGUGGGGAGCGAACAGG